rnacentral:rRNA from 1 species
UGAGGAAUUUUGCGCAAUGGGGGAAACCCUGACGCAGCAACGCCGCGUGGGUGAUGAAGGCCUUCGGGUCGUAAAGCCCUGUCGGGCGGGAAGAACGUCCCUUCGGGGAAUGACGGUACCGCCAGCGGAAGCACCGGCUCACUCCGUGCCAGCAGCCGCGGUAAUACGGAGGGUGCAAGCGUUGUUCGGAAUUACUGGGCGUAAAGGGCGUGCAGGCGGGAGGGCAAGUCUGAUGUGAAAGCCCGGGGCUUAACCCCGGAAGGGCAUUGGAAACUGC